CAGAAUGGAAGCAUACUCUAUGUACUUGCAGAGCUUGAAUUUUAGGAGAACUUUAUCACGUAAUUUGCCCCAUGCCAGAAAAACAGCAGUUAUUACCAGGCUGACGCGAAAAGGCUUUGGCUUGUUGGAUUCAGGAAAACAUGAAAUGGGCCCUGCUCUGGGAUGACUGAUAGGAAACUGGCAUCUGCAUUGACUUCUUGAGCAAUGAGUUUCUUUUGAUAAAACCAAGUUGGCCAGUCCCCGGGUGCUGGUACUACAAAUUUUUUCAAGUAAUGUUCCAGUUGUGGACAGCACAGGAAUAUGUGAUCAAUGGCUGAUUUAUAGUCCUCCAUACUUUUCAAAGAUUGCUCAAACUCAUCUAUUAAAUUAGUAGACUCAAGGGUACAGAGCUCAUCGUGCAACAACCCAGAAUAGACCCUACAAAAAAAGAAAAAAAAUGAUAAUUUGGCAAAUUUAAUGUUCCAUAUUUGCUUUUUUUUAUUUUACUCUACUCCUUUUUUUGUAAUAGCAGUCACUAAACAAAAGUAAAAUUGAUAUUAAUCAUUAUGUAUAUGGCUUUCACAAACUAAUGUAAGAGGUACAUAUUUAUUGGGUGGGAGGUCCAUAUAGGGGAAUAAAGUAUUGUGCCUGGAAAAAUAUUUAGGAAGUGUCAAUAUUAAAACAUUUUUUAAGAAGAGAAAACAGUAUUUUUCUUGUAUGGAUUGCUGACCUGUAAAUAACUACAUUAAAAUCCAUAGAAUACCUCAAUUCCUUUAGUUGUUGUUGGAUGUAUUUUGGUGAAAUGCAUUGGUGAUUUGUUUCCAAGUACAUUCUUGAUAACACUGGUCUUUGAAACAACUCUUUUAUGUAGUCUUGAACAAUUCCUCCUCUGCAAAUUUUAUUUUCAUUCCCUAUCUUCACAAUCACUCGGCUGUGUCUUGUAUCUCUUGUAGGGAUAGGAACAGCAGGAAUUGAAGGAUGGAUGUCCAGUAGGCCACUAGCCAUGUGCGUAGCUAAUGAUAGCUUCAGAUUUGUUGGUAGUCUAACAGUCAAAAUAUUAUGGAAGUCAUCCAACAGUUGUACAAUUAGGAAUCCUUUCUGAAAAUUUUAAAGAAAGUUAAGCAUCAGUUAUCCCACUGGCUUGUUUAAAUUGGAAUGGUUCUUGCUUAUUCUCAAGUAUUGUUUUUAUUAUUCUCUUAUUCACUAUUUACUAAAAUAAAAAUUUGUACCACACUAAUCUCACCUCUGUUGCAAGGAUAACCUUUCUCAUCAGUAUGUCUGGAUAUUUUGUUAUUAGUGUUUUCUUGUGAGAAUCAAUAUUUCUAGGACUUGUACUGAAAUGAAGUAUCCUUCCUGAAUUGAUUGCUGUCCUAGAAGCACCAUGAUGUUGUAGGAAUAGCCCUUCAUCCUUUUGUAGGGUGGAAGUUUUCUGAGACUUGGUAAAAUAAAUUUGUGUCAUUUAAAAAAGAACAAAACACUAGUUUUCUGGUGCAGCUUGUACACAUUGAAUUAUAGUAUAAAGCAUGAUAUUGAACAUACCUAGGCCCAAUUAUGAAAUUGGAGCAGAUAGAAAGGGGGAGCUUAUUACAAAAUUUAGCCUCUAGAGGGUUUUUAGAAAGGAAAGUAAUUGGAGGUUAGGGAGGUGGGUCUUAAUGGAGCAUUUAGGUUACCUGAAAUAUGCCAGUGUGUGAAGGAGAACAACAGUUCUUUGCUCCUGUACAGCUUGAUGUUAUUCUGAGAGUCUGGAGUCCUCCCUUGUUUUUUAACUUAAAAGCAUUUCAAACAGACCUGGAGAGUGUUUUUGUGUGAACGCUUUCAUUGCUGCUGGCUCAUAUAAUGGAGCUUCACUACUGAGGGCAUGAUGGUAUAGGGCCAUCUGAAAUUGUUGCACUAGUUGGCCCAGUGAAUUACCUGUUGAUAGCAAUUAUUGAAUAAAUUAUUCACAGUUUUAGUUGGGCUUGAUCCAUCACUGGGGUUGAACACUGAUCAGCCACAUCGUUGCUGAUCGAUAAAGCUAUUAUAAAUAUUAGAGCAUGCAGAUAUAUUUGAUCAUACAGCUGUACCUUCAUCCAAUUCGUCAAUUUUUUUGAUUGUUGUCUUUAUUUGGUCCCAUACUUGACUAUCCAUUAACAUGUUGCCAUUUGGGGCAAUUUUGAUGGUACCUAGGGGAGUUUGCAGCUCUUUCCAUGUUUCCAGGAGAUGAAUAUCACAUAUGUCUGCUAGAGCUUUAAGUCUUGAAAACAGCCUUCAAAAUUGUUCCUUUGUUUGAUCCAGUUGGGAUAUGGUAGGUGCUGACAUAGAUAUAUCUUGCAAAAUUUCAUGGAGGUGUAGAAUAGGGGAUCCCGUAAACUGAAAUAUCUGAAAUUUACAAAACAGUCAAAAUGGAAAACAAAAUAAGAAUAAACAAACUAUCUAAAAUAAAUAACAAUGAUUAGCAAAAUGUAUCAUCUUUUGGGGUGCAGGUUUUCUGUUGUGGGUGGGUCAAAUGGGGAGGGGUCAUACCUGUUUUCUAAAUUAUUGUUAAGGGGGAGUCAAAGGUUUCUAUUAGAUAUUAGGGGAGGGUCCAAAGAUAUUUCUGAAAAAUUACCUUAAAUAUCCCAGCCCACCCUAGCUCCUCAAUAAUAAAAUGUUUCUUGUCUUAUUCUAUUCCACAUAUUCUAAAUUAAGGAAUUCCUUUCAUUCUCUCAUAGAAAAUUAAUAAUUUUAUAUGAAUUGGCUUGGUGGAAAAAAAACUUGUCAAAAAGCUUAUUUGUCAGAAUUUUUACAAAUUGAAAAAAAAAAAUUCUUUUUCAACAAAUGCAAAAAUAUUGUUUGCACUACUACUUCUCAAUAAUUGAUAAAGUAUUUUUUUCCCACAAAAACAAAAAGAAAGGCGAACUGAAUUUUAUAGAUAAUUUGUGUGUUUCUUCAGAAUGUACAAAUAAACAAACCUUUUGUAGUUGUUGUUCUGUGCCGAUGGCGGAUGUACUACUAUUUGCUUUUUCCUAAUAAAAAGAACGAAAGAAUGUUCAAGCCUUUUCUAUGUACUCGUUUUUAUAUUUUGUUAAACAGAUUGAAAAUACAGGAAGAAAUACAUAGCAAUUUACAGAGAAGAGGCACUGCAGAGGAGUGGUUGUUUCCCCGAAUAAAAAUAUACACUUACCUCGACUGGUUUUCUACUUGUUUGAGGACGGCUUUAAAAUUUCUUAUAGGCGAGCAACUUGCACCGGUAACACCACCGAGUACCAGGCUGGUAUCCUGCCACUGUUAGCCCAAUCUCGUCAAGUACCGGAUAAAAACGACUUGGAAUAGGUUGCUUGUUCAGACGUGAGUGAGGGCAGUUGUUUAUCGUGCAUGGGACAUGAGCAGCGCAAGUUGCUUCUUCGUAACGUAUCCCAAUGUCGCCGGCAAACAUGCGAACCUACCGGCAACUUAGCGACACGACUAAGCUCCUCGGAAAGCUGGUAAAGCCGACCAAUGCAUCCUUUCCCGUUUCUAGUUUUGCAACUCAUCAUACAGUGUUGUGCAGGGGCGGGCGCCCGGCAAUUCCCCCGCCGGAAAUAAGAGGCUGCGCGUGCGCACUACGUUCUGCAGCGGUGUCAGCGGUGUUCAGAACGAACUGACACUCUUGGUAAUGACUUAUUUUAGCUGUUUCAAUGUCAAAUUUAGUUUCAGAUUUUAUACUUAAACUUUUUGUUUGUUGGCGAUGAUAAAUAGAAACACUGCAGCUUUUGUUGUUUUGUUUUUAACUGUAAUUGUUUUUCGGAAUGUUCAGUUUGUCCUCAAUAGCUAGUUGAUAAUCUUAUCCGGGUGUUGUUUUAGCAAUGAAGUGUUAGUAUUUGAAGCCUUUUAAAUGGCAGUCCAGCUUCUUUCAAAGGGAACAACCUUUGGUCUGAAAAAAAUAAAACUAUUUGAUAUUUUUUACUCAAAAAGUUUGGAUAAGUCUUCUGAAUGGUACACAAAUAGUCCAAGUUCUUGAUCUGGAAAUUUGAACCAUUUUGCUUUUGAUAUAAACCAAUGUUUGAGCUUAUGAUUGUUCUCAAGUCUGGCACAUAGCUAGGGGUGAGGGUAGGGGGCGGAUGCUUCCCACUCAACCAACACCUGGGUAUGCAAGGGUGAUCAAUGCAUGAUGCACUACAUGAGGCUAGCAUCAACUAAUCACUGAAUUUGUAUUUUAUUUUCAUUGUUGCCACUAAAUUUACCCUUAGAAAUCACAGUAUAUCUCAAGUUGCCCUUGUCUUUGCCCUUAGCUUUAACAGAUCAGGUGAUUGUAUAACGGCUUUUAUCAGACCAUUUUGUGUAGGCUACCUCACGGUUUAUCUCUGAGCACAGGAAACCCGGUAAGAACGCCUGGGACUAGGCUGAGGUUUAAGGACAGUUGACACUGUGUUCGACUAAAAACAGUUGAUUUUCUUUGGAUUUUAUUUUUUGCUUCAAAUUAAAUUAUUGACGGUUUCAAGAACGUAGUUUUUGAGCAUAUAUGAUUUUGCUGAUCUAUUAAAAAACGCGACGUUUUUUUGGUAGCUAGAAAUCAAGUUGAUCAUUUUUAAGAACACGAAUGCAAAAUGCAUUGAAAUAACAUUGAAUAUUAUAUUGAGACAACAUCGAACAACACGAAUGCAAAAUUUAACCAUCUCAUGCCAUUACAGAUUGCGAACAUUCUGGAUAUCCACUCAAACAUCCACGCAAGCUCGUCCCCAGGGUCUUCUUGGUAAUUUUCAGCUGGACACCAUAUUGAAAAAAUACCCAGGAGACCGUGGGGACGAGGUUGACAUCCACGAAGAGACGGCCAGUCAACACGCCUUUCCCACAGAGACAGACCCGGAUGUAAACAACUUUGGAAUCAAUUUGGUUUCAGAAAACACAGCAUUUAGAGAGAUAUGGUGAUUAAUUUAUUAAACUUUAUUUUCUCACAUAGGCAAAGCAAACAAGACUAAAUAGAGUUUUGACCGCAAAGCACUGUUAGAAAAUUUGGAUACCGCUGAUACUAGGUACAGCGGUGUUUCACUUGGAGGACUGUAAAAAACUUAAAAUAGAUGGGGGGUUGGAAUCUGUUUCCUGUCUGCCCCUGCGUCUUGGCACGAAUACCCGAUUCAGACUGAAAAAGCAUGGUUCCAUCACAAUCGUACAUAUAUCAUGCUCGAAGAUCCAGCGUACUUUGCGGGCAUUCAAAGUCCCGCAAAGUACGCGGGGAUGACCUUUGGGAGCGCCCGCAAUGUACGCUGGAUCUUCGAGCAUGUACAUAUAUUCACGAGUCAACUAUUACAAGUUUGUUUUGUUUACAUUUAUAGUUUUCAAUAAACCAUGCAAUAAACCAAACAAAUAAAAUCCUUAUUGUCACGAUAGCUUUCAGCCUUGUAUUAAUCUCCCGUAAGCGACAACAACUAUUGUUCGAGUAUUUGGUGUCCAGUGAAGCUUUUCGCCAUUGAGUAUUGUUAAUGACCAGACAGAUAGUCAAAUUCUGUAAGAAUGACGACAUACAGCCAGCAACAAGUUCAAGAGUACCGAUUAGUGAUUCUCACAGCCAUAAAAGAGUGGGGAUUGCUCUAGAAGACUCCAUGAUAUCAGACAGGGGCUUUAACAAAGAUAAGUCAUCCUUCUUAGCAUUUUUUCUGGACCUUAAACUAGCAAGGAAAGGAAACUAAGCUUCGCCACAAUUGGCAGGGUAGCCGCAACAGCAUGGCCAUUUACAGAUAAUAGAAGAUGUAAAAAGACUAUUUACAACAAGUUAUAGGAGAUGUAAAAAUUCAUCGACAACAUUAUUCAACAAGUGGAUGAGUCCUUUUUGCAAGAGGAGGCUUAGACUAACACUGGCAAAUAAAAAUAACAAUGUUUUUUUUCACUAAUGUAAUCUUAUUUUAAAGAUUAAAGACAAUACAC